UACGUAGGGGGGCGAGCGUUGUCCGGAUUUAUUGGGCGUAAAGAGCGUGUAGGCGGCCAGGUAGGUCUGCUGUGAAAACUCGAGGCUCAACCUCGAGACGUCGGCGGAAACCAUCUGGCUAGAGUCCGGAAGAGGAGAGUGGAAUUCCUGGUGUAGCGGUGAAAUGCGCAGAUAUCAGGAAGAACACCCGUGGCGAAGGCGGCUCUCUGGGACGGUACUGACGCUGAGACGGCGAAAAGCGUGGGGGAGCGAACAGG
rnacentral:rRNA from 1 species